UUAAAACAGGGUCAAUCCAUUUGAAGAAAAAGUUGGACAAAAUAAUCAGCAUUGCUCCCUCUUUUAUUUAAUAUUUGGGUACUGAUUAUAUCCACAUGGAAGUAGAAGGUAAGGAGUUUAGGAAAAUACUAGAAUCUACUCUGCUUACAUUCUUGUUUAAGUGUUUACACAGUUUGGUUCAAUUAUAAACAUUUGGCCUUUUACUAUAUUAUUUUUAUUUUGUAUGAAUACA
rnacentral:lncRNA from 1 species